AUUUUCGGAUAAGACGUUAGCUGACUGAAAUGUUAAUACAAAAUGAUCGUGUCAUAAGAAAGUUUAAUACGUCAGGGAGACAAAAUAAAAGAUAGAAAGUCAAAAGAUUUGUUUUCUCAAAGAAAAUGAUCUUGAAAGUGAAAAUCCGAGCUGGAAACCGACACCACAUGUCAGUAAAAUCUAAGUGUUAAAGGAACUAAAGAAUUACAAGUAAAUAUCACAAGUUAGGAAGCAUGAUUAAUCUGCAGCUCGUACUCUAUACACCACUUCUUUAAACACGUGGAACUCCAUAAAUAAAUAUGGUCUUUUAUUACCUCACCAUGUUCGAUUUUGACCAAAGGAGUAGAAAUUGCAGAACGUAUAAUAAAGCGUGUAUUUAGUGUACCCAUAAUAAAUGCGUCGUAUAAAAUGGACACGGUGGAAAAUUAACCCUAUGAAGUCGCGCUGAAAAUUGUUUAAGAUAGAAAUUUGAUACGUUACGACACCUGGUAACUCGCGUGUGAUUUCAUAUUCUUCUUAGGAAGCCGGGUAGACUUCGAAUUUUGUCCCCCUUUAAUAUUUGUUAUAAUUAGAACUGAAGUGAAAGAUAGUGACUGUUAAUUCUUUAAAAAGCUAAAAUAGCUGUUACAUAUACAAUUCUGAUGUCAGUUGUAAAACUAACUGCUGAUGGCUUUAUAUGAAUCGAUGAGUCAGUUUGGUGCGGACAGUUCAAAUCGUAGAAGGGUUCCAUCUUGUUUAUUGAUACUCAGGAACAUUUUUGCUAUUUUGUGAAAAAAAGAAGAUGGAUUGGCCCCAUUCCAUUAAUAUCCCUUAGAUCAGUAGGGCCUAUUAGAUUGAGAAAUGCAAUAAGAUUGGACGUUGUUCCUUCAAUGAGACAAUCGCAGGCUGUUAAAUAAAGUGCACAGUUGAUUUUUUUGCAUUUUCUUUUAAUGGAUGGUGUUAAACUAAGUAAAAAACUAUGAUACAUACCUUGUUCUUUUCUCUGUAGCCGAUUUAUUCUUAAUUUGAGAAUAUUUAUUAUCCAAUUUAAGUAUUCUACAGACAAUAAAUUUUUUAUACAUGUUUUUUUUCUUGAAAUUAUUUUAAUGUCUUCUUGUUUCAAUAGACGUUAGAAAGUUGGUGAUUUUAAUACUUAUAAUGAGCUUGAGUUUUAACCAUAUUAAUGAAAUAAAGGAUUUAAAUAAUGCAACAUAUUGAGUAAACUGUUUUCGGAGCCUCUGAAACAGCCAAAUUAAAGCACUUUUUGAUAUUCGUUUAUAACCAAUUAACAUCUUUUUGCAAGUUCAUUGAUAUCAACAUUAUUUUUUAUUAGAGGACAAGUUGAUUAGGUAAUUAUUUACACAGAUAACCUUCUUUGUGAUUGCGUCUAUUUUAACAGCCACAUUCCCGAACAUAUACAUAAUUAUUAAUAUGUGACUUUUGAAAAUUGUAGCAUGUUUAUGGAAUGAAACUUACUUAAAUGCACUGCAGAUGUAUAUUUUUUUUUUCAUUUUUUAGUCAACAACAAAUGUUGUUAGAUACAUAGAAUAAUGAGACAGUAAUUUAAUAUUUACUUGUAUCUGAAUUACAGUACUUUUUUCCUGAAUACAGUUUAAUUGUUUGAUAUUAAAGUAUAGAUAUAUAGAACACAUGCUUUAAUGCUCGCCUUAGAGUGAAAACAUUGUCUUAUACAAAUUUUGUGACAACAUUUGUGAAAUUGUCGUUUAUUGACUUAUUAGUAUAUUGUCUCUUCUGAAAAUUAUUAUAUACUCUCUGUGCUACUUAUUAUAUGAACUUUCACUUGCUGUAGGCAUUGUAUUUAGAUGCAAUAAAUCAAAAUUGAAUUGAACUGAAUGUACGCACAGCUAAUCUAAUGUUUGCAAACACUUUAAAAGAUUAUAAAUUUGUCCUGCUUUCUACUUAUUAAGAUAAAAAUAUAUGUGCUUAAACAUGUUUCAUGCACAUGUGUGUUAUGCUCGCCUAACAAACAUGAUUUUGUGUAUUUAUAUUUGUUUUUAUGUCUUUGUUUCUUUAAUGCAACAUAUAGAAGAUAGGAAAUAAAGAUAAUAUUUUCAUAUACUAUGCAAAAAAAUAAAAAGAGAAUAAAUUAACGUAGUGUCUUCUUUUUCCGUCCUGUAUCGUACAAUAUUUAAACCAAGCUGUUACUCUGUAUUUGACCUGGUAAAUAUAAAGGUGACUAUAUUUGUUUUUGCUGUUUUACCGGUAUUUAAAACUGGUGUAAAUUCCCCUUCCCCUUCCAACAUUUUGACAGUAGAUAUCUAAUCAAUAAUCUUUGUUAUUUAUGACCGAUAUCUCCCGUGAUGUGAUAAUAGAAUGCGGAAAUAGGCGAUUCAUAACGGUCUGCAACUCUCGCUACAAUAUCCGAUAGUGAUCGAUAUUUAAUAUUGAGAAAAUAUAUAUUUAACUUGCAAAAUAUUUUAAACAUCCUUAACAAAAACUUUACACCCGGACUGAAAAACAAUUUACAAAAUAGUUUUAGCCUCCGGUUUAAAGCCGAUAUUGACUUUGCAGUGUAAACAGAUAUUGGGUUUCCAUUACUACAUUUCGCAAUAUUGCAUCAGCCGGUUACGACUAGUUUAUCAAUACACUAUAACAUUCUUUACUUUUUUAAGUUUUAUAACGGAAAAAGUGGAAUUUAAAGAACAAAAAUGUAUUCAAGAAUUCUACAAAGAUAUUAUUAGCCAGACGAAUUACAACGUGAAAAUGCAAGACUUUAUAAAGAUAACGAACGUUUAAAACAAAAUAUAUCAUCGGAAGACUUCAAGAAGAGAAUGUUAACCGUAGGAUUGUUAUACAAUCAUACGCACGGUUGAAUAUUAUAAUACUUUCAUGUUGUUAGAAUCACUCGACCGUAGGAGUAUGCCAUACUCAUACGCAUGACUGAAUGUUAUGAUAUUUAGAUGUUAUUGAAAUAAUUUAACCGUAUGAUUAUACCAUAAUGAUACGCAUGGCUGAAAAUUUCUAGCGGUGUUAGUAAUGUGUGAAAUAGGAAAUAAUUAUUUGUUAAUUAUGCUUUACAUAGUUCACUCUCAGUAUUUUAUACAAUAAAUCAUAAAUGUU
rnacentral:lncRNA from 1 species